UACGGAGGGUGCAAGCGUUACUCGGAAUCACUGGGCGUAAAGCGCGCGUAGGCGGUAAGGCAAGUCAGGUGUGAAAGCCCUGGGCUUAACCCAGGAAGUGCACUUGAAACUGCCUUUCUUGAGUACGGGAGAGGGAAGUGGAAUUCCCAGUGUAGAGGUGAAAUUCGUAGAUAUUGGGAGGAACACCGGUGGCGAAGGCGACUUCCUGGACCGAUACUGACGCUAAAGUGCGAAAGCGUGGGGAG
rnacentral:rRNA from 1 species